ACUGCCUUUCUUCUUUCAAAGACUUUAAAUAGCUGAAGAACUCUUGUUCUUUACUCUAUUUGUAAAUGUCUGGAAAAUAUAUCUACAAUAUAAGAAGAUGAACUAAGCACAGGACUUUUUUUUUUCUUCAUCUAACAAAUACCUUGACAAAACAGCAAGGAGGUUCCAAAUGUCCAGAUUAAGCUCUGCAACAUGCACUUUAAUCAAGUAAUUUAUGUGACUCUGCAGAGAUGAGAACAUGCUGUCCUCCUCAUGGCUCCAGAAGCUGAAGUUUUAUGAUGAAGUCAUGCAUGCAUCAUAUUAUACUUCUUUCUGUGCACUGGCACAAAGAUUCAAGAAGUCUCCAAAUAUUGACAGUAGAAUUUGGAGAGUGCUCCACUACCACUAUGGGACUACUCUGGAAGGACAGAAGGAUCCUUAUCAGAAGCUUUGACUACUACAGAAUGAGGCUACUUACUCUAUUGCAAUGCAGAGAAAAAAAUGAAUUAAAAAGGACAAAUAACAUGUGUUCUCCAUACUGUGCAUGACCUGCCAAAUGCAUGCUGGCCUCAUUACCUGAUGCCUGGCUUUCUUCAAGACAAGUGGAUCAGGGACAAACUCUGAUUUGGGCAAAGUAGCUCUGUAGCCAGAGCACUGCACCUCUU